AGUGAACGCUGGCGGUAGGCCUAACACAUGCAAGUCGAACGGCAGCACAGUAAGAGCUUGCUCUUACGGGUGGCGAGUGGCGGACGGGUGAGGCAUACAUCGGAAUCUACUUUUUCGUGGGGGAUAACGUAGGGAAACUUACGCUAAUACCGCAUACGACCUACGGGUGAAAGCAGUGGAUCUUCGGACCUUGCGCGAUUGAAUGAGCCGAUGUCGGAUUAGCUAGUUGGCGGGGUAAAGGCCCACCAAGGCGACGAUCCGUAGCUGGUCUGAGAGGAUGAUCAGCCACACUGGAACUGAGACACGGUCCAGACUCCUACGGGAGGCAGCAGUGGGGAAUAUUGGACAAUGGGCGCAAGCCUGAUCCAGCCAUACCGCGUGGGUGAAGAAGGCCUUCGGGUUGUAAAGCCCUUUUGUUGGGAAAGAAAAGCAGCAGGUGAAUACCCCGCUGUUCUGACGGUACCCAAAGAAUAAGCACCGGCUAACUUCGUG
rnacentral:rRNA from 1 species